rnacentral:rRNA from 1 species
UACGGAGGGUGCGAGCGUUGUCCGGAAUCACUGGGCGUAAAGGGCGCGUAGGUGGCCUGUGGAAGUCUGCGGUGAAAGCCCGGCGCUCAACGCCGGGUCGGCCGUGGAUACUCUCGGGCUUGAGCUUACUAGAGGCAGAUGGAAUUCCAGGUGUAGCGGUGGAAUGCGUAGAGAUCCGGAAGAACACCGGUGGCGAAGGCGGUCUGCUGGGGUAAUGCUGACACUGAUGCGCGAUAGCGGUGGGGAGCAAACAGGG